GGCGCACGGGUGCGUAACGCGUAUACAAUCUACCUCUUGCUGAGGGAUAGCCCAGAGAAAUUUGGAUUAAUACCUCAUGGUAUUAUAGAUAGGCAUCUAUUUAUAAUUAAAGGUUACGGCGAGAGAUGAGUAUGCGUCCCAUUAGCUAGUUGGCGAGGUAACGGCUCACCAAGGCAACGAUGGGUAGGGGUCCUGAGAGGGAGAUCCCCCACACUGGUACUGAGACACGGACCAGACUCCUACGGGAGGCAGCAGUGAGGAAUAUUGGACAAUGGGCGAGAGCCUGAUCCAGCCAUGCCGCGUGCAGGAAGACUGCCCUAUGGGUUGUAAACUGCUUUUAUACAGGAAGAAUAAGCCUUACGUGUAAGGUGGUGACGGUACUGUAAGAAUAAGGACCGGCUAACUCCGUGCCAGCAGCCGCGGUAAUACGGAGGGUCCGAGCGUUAUCCGGAAUUAUUGGGUUUAAAGGGUCCGUAGGCGGAUGAUUAAGUCAGGGGUGAAAGUUUGCAGCUCAACUGUAAAAUUGCCUUUGAUACUGGUUAUCUUGAGUUGUAUUGAAGUAGGCGGAAUAUGUAGUGUAGCGGUGAAAUGCAUAGAUAUUACAUAGAACACCAAUUGCGAAGGCAGCUUACUAAGUACUAACUGACGCUGAUGGACGAAAGCGUGGGUAGCGAACAGGAUUAGAUACCCUGGUAGUCCACGCCGU
rnacentral:rRNA from 1 species